CACGUAGGGCGCGAGCGUUGUCCGGAAUUAUUGGGCGUAAAGAGCUCGUAGGCGGCCUGUUGCGUCCGCUGUGAAAGCCCGGGGCUUAACCCCGGGUCGCAGUGGAUACGGGCAGGCUAGAGGUAGGUAGGGGAGAAUGGAAUUCCCGGUGUAGCGGUGAAAUGCGCAGAUAUCGGGAGGAACACCGGUGGCGAAGGCGGUUGCCUGGGGCUUUGCUGACGCUGAUGCGCGAAAGCGUGGGGAGCGAUCCGG
rnacentral:rRNA from 1 species